rnacentral:rRNA from 1 species
CAAGUCGAGCGAGAUUUUUCGUUGUAGCAAUACGAUGGAAAAUUUAGCGGCGAACGGGUGCUUAACACGUGGGCAACCUGCCAUGAAGUGGGGGAUAGCUCGCCGAAAGGCGAAUUAAUACCGCAUGUGAUUAGAGAGGACAUCCUUUCAAAAUUAAAGUCGGGGCAACCUGACGCUUCUUGUGGGGCCCGCGGCCUAUCAGCUAGUUGGUGAGGUAACGGCUCACCAAGGCUUUGACGGGUAGCUGGUCUGAGAGGACGACCAGCCACACUGGGACUGAGACACGGCCCAGACACCUACGGGUGGCAGCAGCCGAGAAUUUUUGACAAUGGGGGAAACCCUGAUCGAGCGACGCCGCGUGGAGGAUGAAGGUCUUCGGAUUGUAAACUCCUGUCAUUUGGGAACAAGGUGCACACGUUAACUGCGUGUGUAUUGAUAGUACCAGAAGAGGAAGGGACGGCUAACUCUGUGCCAGCAGCCGCGGUAAUACAGAGGUCUCAAGCGUUGUUCGGAUUCAUUGGGCGUAAAGGGUGCGUAGGCGGCGCGGUAAGUCGGGUGUGAAAUCUCGGAGCUUAACUCCGAAACUGCAUUCGAUACUGCCGUGCUUGAGGACUGGAGAGGAGACUGGAAUUUACGGUGUAGCGGUGAAAUGCGUAGAUAUCGUAAGGAAGACCAGUGGCGAAGGCGGGUCUCUGGACAGUUCCUGACGCUGAGGCACGAAGGUCAGGGGAGCAAACGGGAUUAGAUACCCCGGUAGUCCUGACAGUAAACGGUGCACGUUUGGUGUGGGAGGAUUCGACCCCUUCUGCGCCGGAGCUAACGCGUUAAACGUGCCGCCUGGGGAGUACGGUCGCAAGAUUAAAACUCAAAGAAAUUGACGGGGGCCCGCACAAGCGGUGGA